rnacentral:tRNA from 2 species
GGUUUCGCGGGUCGGGUAAAUCAUUCAGGAUCGACUCAUAAUCGUUAGGUCCACGGUUCAAGUCCGUGAGGGGCCACCA